rfam:Triticum aestivum genome assembly, contig: Triticum_aestivum_CS42_TGACv1_scaffold_314396_4AS
AUUAUACUCCCUCCGUCUGAAAAUACUUGUCAUCAAAAUGGACAAAAAGGGAUGUAUCUAAAACUAAAAUACAUCUAGAUACAUCCCUUUUAUCCAUUCUGAUGAAAAGUAUUUCCGGACGGAGGGAGUAUAUA